UACCAGCACCCCGAGUGGUCGGGACGAUUAUUGGGCCUAAAGCAUCCGUAGCCGGUCCUACAAGUCUUCCGUUAAAUCCACCUGCUUAACAGAUGGGCUGCGGAAGAUACUAUAGGGCUAGGAGGCGGGAGAGGCAAGCGGUACUCAGUGGGUAGGGGGUAAAAUCCUCUGAUCCAUUGAAGACCACCAGUGGCGAAGGCGGCUUGCCAGAACGCGCUCGACGGUGAGGGAUGAAAGCUGGGGAGCAACCGGG
rnacentral:rRNA from 1 species